rnacentral:misc_RNA from 1 species
GAUGAAGAACGUAGCAAAAUGCGAUACUUGGUGUGAAUUGCAGAAUCCCGUGAACCAUCGAGUUUUUGAACGCAAGUUGCGCCCGAAGCCUUUUGGCCGAGGGCACGUCUGCCUGGGCGUCACGCAUCGCGUCGCCCCCCACAAUUCUCCGUAAAGGGAACGUGUGUUUUGGGGGCGGAUAUUGGUCUCCCGUGCUCAUGGCGUGGUUGGCCGAAAUAGGAGUCCUUUCGAUGGACGCACGAACUAGUGGUGGUCGUAAAAACCCUCGUCUUUUGUUUCGUGCUGUUGCUCGCAAGGUAAACUCUUUAAAAACCCCAAUGUGUCGUCUCUUGACGACGCUUCGACCGCGACCCCAGGUCAGGUGGGACUACCCGCUGAGUUUAAGCAUAUCAAUAAGCGGAGGA